rnacentral:lncRNA from 1 species
GGUGCCUCAACAAUGGGCUCUAAAUUUGAUCUAAUCAAAUCCGGUUCGAUGUUUUCACUGAUUUGUGUUGGUUCUUCUAUCUAUCGAACUUCAUCAAAUUCAACCUUAGAGGCAUUAGUUCCUUCACUAAAGAACUCUUUUUUCAAAAAGACUGCCUUAUUGCUGACGAAUACAUUUUGUUCUUCAGCAAGAUUGAAGUAGUAUGCCCUAGAUUUCUUGAUAUACCCUACAAACAAGUACUUAUCAGAUCGAGAUCCAAGCUUAUCGAUCUACAAAUAUUUGACAUAAGUCGAACAACCC